rnacentral:rRNA from 1 species
GAUGAACGCUAGCGACAGGCUUAACACAUGCAAGUCGAGGGGCAGCAUAGAAGUAGCAAUACUUUGGUGGCGACCGGCGCACGGGUGAGUAACGCGUAUGCAACCUACCUAUCAGAGGGGAAUAACCCGGCGAAAGUCGGACUAAUACCGCAUAAAACAGGGGCACCGCACGGUGAUAUUUGUUAAAGAAAUUCGCUGAUAGAUGGGCAUGCGUUCCAUUAGGUAGUUGGUGAGGUAACGGCUCACCAAGCCGACGAUGGAUAGGGGAACUGAGAGGUUGGUCCCCCACACUGGUACUGAGACACGGACCAGACUCCUACGGGAGACAGCAGUGAGGAAUAUUGGUCAAUGGGCGAGAGCCUGAACCAGCCAAGUCGCGUGAAGGAAGAAGGAUCUAUGGUUCGUAAACUUCUUUUGCAGGGGAAUAAAGUGCAGGACGUGUCCUGUUUUGUAUGUACCCUGAGAAUAAGGAUCGGCUAACUCCGUGCCAGCCGCCGCGGUAA